UCGCUUGGGCAGCAUAUAUACUAAAAUUGGGAGGAUACAGACAAGAUUAACAUGUCCCCUGUGUAAGGAUGACAUACAAAUUUGUGAAGUGUUCCUUUUUUAU